GUCGUGCCGGUUGAGGUGGAACGGAUAGAUAUUGGUGUGCCUGACAAAUUCAUGUUGGGAGAACUUUGGCCCAUGACAAAAGAAGGAACAAAGUUGCCUUUGAUUUCUUUAGAUGAUAUGUCGGUCUCGCUGGAAAGGAGAACAGAGUUGCCUUUGAGAAAAUGCCCACUCUAAAAAGAUAAAGCUUCAUAUUAUUAUUUCUAUCGUGAUUCUUUUUGUCUGCCAGGUGAAGAGACGGAGAGAGGUGAAGCAGAAAAGAGAAAAGAAGAAGGCAAAAGCAAUCAAGUAAGCUAAAAAUGAAAGCAAAAGAAAAAGCAAAAAGAAAAGGGAAAUGUCAUUAUUUCCUUAUCUGUCAUCUGCAAAAAGAAGGAAAAGGAGAAAAGCAAAAGAGAGGCACAUGGGGACACUGCAAAAGCAAGGAAUAAACACCCCACCAAAAAGAUGUGAUUUACUUUUCUUAUUUCUGAAUGAUGUAAAUUAUUUUUCUUAUCUUUCGAAUACAUCUAUAUAAACCCUAUCAGAGUGUAAUAAAAAAAAAAGGGCAAAGCCCAAAACAAAUGGGCUGGCAUGUUGUGGAGGGCGAAGGCCCAUAAGCCCGAAAUAGCACCAACCAGGUCAUCAAAAGUAAGCACAGUACUCCACAAUUAUUCGGCAACCCACCGCUAUUACCACCAACCAGAUUAUCAAACGUACGCCCAGUACUCCAUAAUUAUUCGGC
rnacentral:lncRNA from 1 species